AGCUUUGCAGAGUGGCAGUAUCAUAGCCCAUGAGGUAAAUCCGAGGUGCGAUUAUUGCUGGUUGAAAACUUGACCCAAUACGCGGCUUGUAACAACUUGCAAUAUAGUUGGAAAUUGUAAUUUUUGACAGUCUUUCGAGA